UUGCAAUUUGAGGGACCUGCCUGCCAACCCAGGCCGAAAUUCCAGAGAAUUUAAUUUGCUAGCACUGUAUUUUACCCUGUAACGUUCUACGACACCCUAAAACCUGUACAUGGGGGGUACUGUUUUACUCGGGAGACUUCGCUGAACACAAAUAUUAGUGAUUCAAAACAGUAAAACAUAUCACAGUGAUGAUAUUGUCAGUGAAAGUUACUUUUUUUGCAUUUUUCACACACAAACAGCACUUUUACUGAUGAUAUAGUUGUUGUGAUACGUUUUCCAGUUUUUAAACACUAAUAUUUGUGUUCAGCGAUGUCUCCCGAGUAAAACAGUACCACCCAUGUACAGGUUUUAUAGCAUUUUUGAAAGUUACAAGGUCAAAUAUAUGGGUCAAAUAUUUUUACAUUGAAAAUGGCCAGGUUGGUUACGUUGCCUUUGAGAGCGUAUGGUAGCCCAGGAAUGAGAAUUACCCCCAUGAUGGCAUACCAUUUGCAAAAGAAGAC